CCCUCCACAGUUUGCUUAUUGUAGACAUCUCUGCUCAUUCUUAGAACUGAUAUUCUCCAUAUUACUCUUUUUUAACUUUCAGGACAAACGUAUCUUAGCAAAGACAUCUCACUGAGAUUUUAAUAUAAUUAAGGAUGCUGAACGUGCCACUGUAACACAGAACAACAGAAGAGCUGAAGCUGAAAAGGAUCUCUGGAUAUCAUCUAGUCCAAUUGCUGUUUAAAACAGGAUCAGCCUGGAAAGGUUGCCCAGCACUCUGUUCAGUCAAGUUUAAUAUCUCCGUGCAUGGAGACUCCACAACUCUGAGCAACCCAUUCUACUGCUUGAACACCCUCAAGAAAAUUAUCUUGCUAUUUGGGAGAUAAGGCAGUAAAUAAAGUCCUGAACUGCUCAUCGUGAAGAGAAAGGCUUCAUCAGUCAAAGGAAAACAUGGAGAUAAAAUAAAAGUGUAAGUGCAGCAGUGCU